AUAGCCAUUUAGAAAUAGUGGAUAAUACCGAAUACGCUCAUGACCCUGUGGGAAUAUGGAGGAAAACAGGCUACGGCCUGGCUCGAGGAUGGGCCCGCGUCCCAUUAGCUAGUUGGUGAGGUAACGGCCCACCAAGGCGACGAUGGGUAUCCGGCCUGAGGGGGUGUACGGACACAUUGGGACUGAGAUACGGCCCAAACUCCUACGGGAGGCAGCAGCUAAGAAUAUUCCGCAAGUGGACGAAAGUCUGACGGGAGCGACGCCGCGUGGAUGAAGAAGGACCCGGGAAGGUUGUAAAAUCCUUUUGCUGAUGAAGAAUAAGUGUGGUAGGGAAUGACCGCAUGAUGACAUUAGUCGGUGAAUAAGCCCCGGCUAACUACGUGCCAGCAGCCGC
rnacentral:rRNA from 1 species